AUGGGCAAUGGGCUGUCUCCGUGCGUGAGCAUGCCGGCGGCCGCUGAGGCGCCCGCGGCGGCCAGGCUGGUGUACUGGGGCGGGCGGACGAGGGCGCUGCCGGUCACCGACGACGAGGAGGGCGAGGGCGAGGGCAACGGCGGUGUCCUCUGCACGGCCGCGGACGUGACGGCGGAGCUGCUCCCGGCCGACCACGUGGUCUGCCCGGCCGACUCCUUCUUCGUCGGCCUCCCGGUCCCCGUCGCGUUGCCGGGGGAGCGGCUGCUGCCCGGCCGGACCUAUUUCGUGCUCCCCCGCCGCCUCCUCUCCUCCCCCUCCCCCGGCGGCAAGGCGGCCGUGCUCACCGCGGCCACGCUCGCGUCGCUGUCGGCCGCGCCGGGGGGCAGGAAGACGGUGCAGCUCGCCGGCCCCGGCCAGUGCCCAUUCGAGUACGUCAAGGGCGGCGAGGACGGCGCCGCGGCGCUCAUCCGGGUCCUGCCGCAGUUCAUCGAGAAGGUCAUCACCUGCGACGGCGGCAACGGCAACGCCGAUGCUGCCAGCCGGCGCGGGCCGGGCAAGGUGGCUGCGACGGGGACGGAGCUGUGCAGCACGCCGGAGCUGAAGCGGCACUACGCGCAGCUCGUGGGCGCCAAGGGCCGCCCGUGGUCGCCGAGGCUGGAGACCAUCUCCGAGCGCAGCAAGAGGAGGAUCUUCUCGUCGCCGGCCAGACUGCUGUUGUCUUCGCAAUGA
rnacentral:rRNA from 1 species